rnacentral:rRNA from 1 species
CAGCAGCCACGGUAAUACGUAGGUCCCGAGCGUUGUCCGGAUUUAUUGGGCGUAAAGCGCACGUAGGCGGACUUUUAAGUCAGGGGUGAAACCCCGGGGCUCAACCCCGGAACUGCCUUUGAUACUGGAAGUCUUGAGUAUGGUAGAGGUGAGUGGAAUUCCGAGUGUAGAGGUGAAAUUCGUAGAUAUUCGGAGGAACACCAGUGGCGAAGGCGGCUCACUGGACCAUUACUGACGCUGAGGUGCGAAAGCGUGGGGAGCAAACAGGAUUAGAUACCCGAGUAGUCCCUGUCUCUUAUAC